rnacentral:rRNA from 1 species
GUGGGGAAUAUUGGACAAUGGGCGCAAGCCUGAUCCAGCCAUGCCGCGUGAGUGAUGAAGGCCCUAGGGUUGUAAAGCUCUUUCACCGGAGAAGAUAAUGACGGUAUCCGGAGAAGAAGCCCCGGCUAACUUCGUGCCAGCAGCCGCGGUAAUACGAAGGGGGCUAGCGUUGUUCGGAAUUACUGGGCGUAAAGCGCACGUAGGCGGACAUUUAAGUCAGGGGGGAAAUCCCGGAGCUCAACUCCGGAACUGCCUUUGAUACUGGGUAUCUCGAGUCUGGAAGAGGUGAGUGGAAUUCCGAGUGUAGAGGUGAAAUUCGUAGAUAUUCGGAGGAACACCAGUGGCGAAGGCGGCUCACUGGUCCAUUACUGACGCUGAGGUGCGAAAGCGUGGGGAGCAAACAGGAUUAGAAACCCGGGUAGUCC